CAACUUUCGACCUCGGAUCUCUUGGCUCUCGGAUCAAUGAAGAAAACUGCGAAAUGCAAUGAGAAUUGUGAAUUGCAGAGUUCCAUGAAUCCUCUAAUCUUUGAUCGCACCCUGUGCUCCUUGGAAUACCAAGGAGGAUGCCUGGUUGAGUGACUUG
rnacentral:rRNA from 1 species